CAAAGACAUGUCGCUAUCUGAGUUCUGGAGUGGGGACCCCCCUCACGAGCCAAGAUUCAGCCCCGGUCCAGGCUCCCUAACCUGUGCCCCAGACACCAGGGGAUCCCCGGGCUUCCAGGCCCUAAUGGCCAGGGUCUGUUUUGCUUUAAAGUUAGGGAUUCUGGUAUGGUAACUUUGAUACUGACUAUGAAGUAAGAGGAAGAGCUCUGAAGGAGACCGUGGGCUGAUUCUUCCCCUUGCUAUGGCUGCCUGUAGACUAUCAAAUCAGCUGUAAAGAAGUCUCUCCUUCGAUGUGAAUUUGAACGGGGCAUCUGGGGCCCUGUGCUUUCUUCUCUCUUCCCAUAGACUGCUGUCCAUGACAUUUUCACAGGAGGAGUCAAUUAGCCGGACGUAAAUUACUUCUGAGACCCAGGGAGAGGGCUGACAUUAUCCACACCAUUUCCCGGAGGAGGAACUGAAGUGGAGAGAGGUCAAGUGCCUUGACCAAGAUUAUAUAAUGGCCUCGUCAGGAGUAAAGUUUGGGGUUUCUUUUCUGUCUCUGCUUACUGAAAAAAUCGUCCCAAGCUGUCACCUUGCAGAAUGACAGGACGAGAGCACGUGACACGGGCAUGCUCAGGGGCACUGCUGGCCAUGGGAGCUGGACCCCACCACUGGACAGAACACCUCGCAGGAUUCCCGAUCACCCUACCCACACACGUCCCAUGAGGCCCUGGAGAGUCCUGGCGGGGUGCGGGAGACCAGACUCUCAUGUGACGAACUGGCCGGAAGGGGCCUCUCUCUCCUCUUUCCUUCUACUCUCGCUACCCCGAGAGAUUCUCUAUAUGACGAACUAAAAGGGGAAUUGACUCAGAAGUACAAAGGGCUCCGUCUUAUUAUAUGAAGAUUUCUCCAGAGUUUGUUUUCAGAUCAUUAAAUACUCAACAGUGGGAGAAACUAAAAGCGCCAAUGUUCUAAGCCACCCCCUGGCAGAAUAUCAAUCAGAAAUUAAAGUCAGGUGCAUCCUGAAGCAAAGUGACCGAAAAGACACACCUUGCUGCAUGCUGAAUCGUUCUCAGUUUUGUGCAAAGGAGCUGCCUAGCGCAGUGCUGGACCACCGUGACCACAGACGUCAGCCUGCGGUCACCCCGACUUCCUUGGCAGGCUGCACCUGACCGCCCUGCCCCAGGGUGGCCUCCACUGUGGACAGAGGCCUUCCCUAGCACUUCACAGUCUAGUGCCCACGGAACCCUGCCACACACACAGUAGACAGGAGAAUGAAUCAAAUGCAGUUCUGACCCCUUCAGACCACGGGUCCAUUUUGUUUUCCCUUCCUUUCCUCCCCUCUCCUUCUUUUCUUCUCUUUCUCUGUGAACCUUGGGAAGAGGAGCCUGAGGAAGAUGUGCUCCGGAGCAUCUCUCCUGUCUGAGAUGCUCAACUGAAAAUGAGAACCAGCAGGGCCUAUCCUACAAAGAGGCGGUCGGCCACCCCUGGCCUGCUGGGGUUUCCGCAGUCCCUCGGGCCAGUGCCCCCAGAAACCGAAAGGAAAAAUCCUCCCCAUUCAGCCUGGCCUCCUCAGCUUCCCCUCCCAGCCCCAGGCCCAAACACUUCCCCCAAGGUCCAUGACCUUUCUGCUGUCAGAUCCAGCGGAAGCAUCUCUGUAUUCAUCUCAGUACUUUAUCCUCCACCUUUUCCUGGGAGCCAGGGCUUCCAGAAACGGCUGGGCGGUUGGCUUUGGCGAUGGUCCUUCUCCUGCUCUUUGCUUGCCUCCCUGCAGUCCCUUCCCCACUUACCCUGCAGGUUCCAUGGCUGCCCUGACCCUUUAGGGCUCGGCCUCAGGGACUUUCCUUCCCCACAGCCCCUCCUGGGUGUCUCCGUCUGUCCCUGUUGUUCUCCUGCAGCGACAGUCCUCGCCGCUGGCUCUGUGUGGUGUCCCCAACUGCCCGUGACCUCUCUCCUUGGCAGCUCGCUGCACUUGCAGGACGGGCCCACAUGGAAACCUUUCCUCCCUGAGGACGGCUUGGACUCAUCUUGGUUCCUCGCUCCCCCUCACCUCAAGAGCCCUGUGCACCUGCAGUCUUCCGAGUCUUAUCUCCAAAUACAUGCGCAUGCUGCGAACUCAUCUGCACCUUUCUUUUUUUCUGUACUGGGAAUUGAACCCAGGGCCUUUGCACUGAGCUACAUCCCUAGGCCUUUCUUAUUUUACUUUUGAGACAGGGUCUCACUAAGUCACUAAGCUGCCCAGGGUUUGAAUUCGUGAUCCUCUGCCUCAGCCUCCCAGAGUUCUGGGAUUGGGGGUCUGCACCACUGCGCCUGGCUAUCUUCACCUUCACUUUCACUACAGUGGUUCAAGAUACAGGGCAGCCUGUAGGAGGAGGCAACUGGUGUGGGAUGCUCGGGCCAGUCACAGUCAAACAUAGGCCACCGGGUGGACCUCUUUCUACACCCUUGGGGAGACUGCUGACGACAAACAUUUCAAAGAUUAGGGAGCUGAGGCGUAGAUGAAUCGAGUAACUUUCUCGGACUCCUGAGCUGGUGAGAAUGUGGACAACUGCUUAGAUCACUGCAGACUGGAUUCUAGUGCUCACCAACGCUUCCGCACGGCGCACACCCAGGGAAGAAGGAUCAUGCACAGAUGACUCUUCACUGAGGAGCCAGUACGUAAGACAGGUAGAGAUGACACUGCGAUGUUAGGUGGAGUCGAUUCCUUCUCUCAGCCGCUCACCCUGGCUCUUGGCUCCUUCGGGAGGCCUGAGGCUCUGACAGGAGUUUGAAAACCACUGCGUGAAGAAAUGCUGUCUCUCAAAACCCCUGUUAGAGGACAAAAACCUCCACUCCCAUGGUAGAGAAAGAA
ensembl:lncRNA